rnacentral:rRNA from 1 species
GACGAACGCUGGCGGCGUGCUUAACACAUGCAAGUCGAACGGAAAGGCCCUGCGUUUGUGGGGUGCUCGAGUGGCGAACGGGUGAGUAACACGUGAGUAACCUGCCCUUGACUUUGGGAUAACUUCAGGAAACUGGGGCUAAUACCGGAUAGGAGCUCCUGCUGCAUGGAGGGGGGUGGAAAGUUUCGGCGGUUGGGGAUGGACUGGCGGCUUAUCAGCUUGUUGGUGGGGUAGUGGCUUACCAAGGCUUUGACGGGUAGCCGGCCGGAGAGGGUGACCGGCCACAUUGGGCCUGAGAUACGGCCCAGACUCCUACGGGAGGCAGAAGUGGGGAAUAUUGCACAAUGGGCGGAAGCCUGAUGCAGCAACGCCGCGUGCGGGAUGACGGCCUUCGGGUUGUAAACCGCUUUCGCCUGUGACGAAGCGUGAGUGACGGUAAUGGGUAAAGAAGCACCGGCUAACUACGUG